GCGAUCCUGUAAAUGGCGGACGAGAAGAGAAGCGCUCCAUCGGACGACAAUGGAGCCGUGGGAAGCGCUUGACAUUGACGACUCGGAGGUCUCCUCCUUCCUCCGCCCUUCGAAGCGGCAAGGUCUCAGCCCUGACGCAGCUCCUCCGCCGCAGCGGCGGCUCAACAAAACCCUAACACUGAACCCCUCGCCUCCCGCUUCCAUUCUCAGACCCUGCUCUCAGCUCCUCGCUCCACAAGAGCCAUCCAUCUCACAGCCUACGCCCAAUUCUCAGAUACUAGCUUCCGUUUCCAUUGUCGAGCCCGAGACAUCACGUCGGCUCCUGCAACAGCCGGAGAGUUGGAAAUCUUUGUCACGGCGGAUCCCAGGACCCGCAGGAGCUGUACAAGUAGCGAUGCAGCGAAAGGUUCGGAACUCGAAGGUCCCUGUGCAGGGUGAUGAUAGAGAUGCCCCGAUACCUACUCAGGAAUACUUAAGGAGGGCUGUCGAGAAUGGAGAUGAAGAUGAUGGCGACUUUGCCCUAAAUCCAUGGGUUUGUGCAGUGAAUUUCGUUAGGUGUGAAGGUUUGGUGGGUGGUGAUGGUGUGGCGAUUGGGACACCUCUGUGCUCCAUCAGGAGUGGAAAUCUCACCGACAAGGUUGCUCAGGUGGUUGCAAUUAUCAAAUCUUGCAAUCCAAAUGGUCUUGGCGAUCUCUUGGUAACACUUAAGGAUCCUACUGGUUUGAUUGGGGCUACCAUUCACCGGAGAGUCCUCAACUACGGUAGUUUUGGGAAGGACAUAACUGUGGGUGCAGUUCUAAUACUUCAAAAGGUUGCUGUGUUUUCCCCUGCUCGAUCUUCUCGCUAUCUCAAUAUAACUUUGAACAAUGUGGUCAAGGUCAUCUCUAAGGACAUGGGGCCGAUAUCAGAACAGACUUCUUGUACACCGCCAGUGAAACAUACCUCUGUAGCAGAAAACUAUGGGAAGUCAAGCCGACCGAAGGCAGCAGUUCCUCAGUUAAGGGAAAGAAUUGAUGGGAUCAUGAAUAGCUUCAGACAAAGUGCGAAUAUGAGUGCGAAUACCCUUGCUGGAAGACAUUCUGAACAGCAUGAUGAUUUAAGGACAGUCGAUUCCUACAGCAGUCUAAGCCGCAGAGAGCACAGUUCUUCCAUAGAGAAGGAACCUGUAUCAAUAACACAUGAUGCUGGGAGUCAAUUAGAACAAGCUGAAAUGGAUGUACUGAUGACUGACAGCAAUCCUGUAGGAGUCUCUGAAAGUGGUGAUGGAAUGAAACAAGGGAAUGGAUAAGGAGGCUAUUCAACAGACAGUAAUACAAUAGGCAACAGCGGGAUGUCGAACACGAGAGAAGCCUCUCAAGGUGCAGAAGGUGGGAAGAUGAACAGAAUUAAGGAGCUGAAAGAAGCAGUGGUUUCAAAAAGUUCACUUCCGGAGUGGACAGAUGAACAGCUGGAGGAGCUCUUGGAGUACGAUUGAUGAGGAAUCCUCUAGGCCAAAUAAAUCUGGCAGAGGUUGCAAGAUGAGGCCAUUAUGAGCAGGGAAGCACGCCAAUACUUAAUCAUCCAUUACUGGAACAACUUCCUCAGUCUCUCUGCAGAAAGGGCUGCUCUCUUGUUGGUUGGUUCUAGGACAAGUGAGUAAUUGAAGUCUGCAUGUUAAAAAAAUGACGAUAAUCGUUACAUCCGAGAGUUGCAAACCGAGCUGAAGCAGUGUGCUUUUAAUUUGCGUGUAGAAAGUAGUCCAUU